rnacentral:Y_RNA from 1 species
GGCUGGUCUGAAGGUAGUAGUGAAUUAGCUCAACUGAUUGUUCACAGUCAGUUACAGAUCAAACUCUUCUACUCUUUUCCCCUCUUCUCACCUACUGCACUUUGACUACUCUUUU